rnacentral:rRNA from 2 species
GGGAUUGCCCUAGUAACGGCGAGUGAAGCGGCAACAGCUCAAAUUUGAAAUCUGGCUCUAGGGCCCGAGUUGUAAUUUGCAGAGGAUGAUUUUGGCGCGGUGCCUUCCGAGUUCCCUGGAACGGGACGCCUUAGAGGGUGAGAGCCCCGUACGGUUGGACACCAAGCCUCUGUAAAUCUCCUUCGACGAGUCGAGUAGUUUGGGAAUGCUGCUCUAAAUGGGAGGUAAAUUUCUUCUAAAGCUAAAUACCGGCCAGAGACCGAUAGCGCACAAGUAGAGUGAUCGAAAGAUGAAAAGCACUUUGAAAAGAGGGUUAAAUAGCACGUGAAAUUGUUGAAAGGGAAGCAUUUACUACCAGACCUUCUCCCUGCGGAUCAUACGGUGUUCUCACCGCUGCACUUCGCUUGGUUUAGGCCAGCAUCGGUUUUCGUAGAGGGAUAAAAGCUUUAGGAACGUAGCUCCCUCGGGAGUGUUAUAGCCUUUUGCAUAAUACCUUUACGGGGACCGAGGACCGCGCUUUUGCAAGGAUGCUGGCAUAAUGGUAGUCAAUGACCCGUCUUGAAACACGGACCAAGGAGUCGAACAUUUGUGCGAGUGUUUGGGUGUUAAACCCUCACGCGUAAUGAAAGUGAACGUAGGUGAGAGCCCUUACGGGUGCAUCAUCGACCGAUCUUGAUGUCUUCGGAUGGAUUUGAGUAAGAGCAUAACUGUUCGGACCCGAAAGAUGGUGAACUAUGCGUGGAUAGGGUGAAGCCAGAGGAAACUCUGGUGGAGGCUCGCAGCGGUUCUGACGUGCAAAUCGAUCGUCAAAUCUGCGCAUGGGGGCGAAAGACUUAUCGAACCAUUAAACCAGCGGUAAAAAUAUUUACUAGGUGGUUAAGAGGCCCUCUGUAAAGAGAAAAAGGCCUAG